rnacentral:rRNA from 1 species
AGUGAACGCUGGCGGUAGGCCUAACACAUGCAAGUCGAACGAAAGCACAGUAAGAUUUUGCUUUUACGGGUGGCGAGUGGCGGACGAGUAAGGAAUACAUCGGCAUCUAAUUUUUCGUGGAGGACAACGUAGGGAAGCUUAUACUAAUACCGAAUACGUCCUACGGGUGAGAGCAGGGGAUCUUCGGACCUUUCGCGAUGGAAUGAGCCGAUGUCGGAUUGGCUAGUUGGCGGGGUAAAGGCCCACCAAGGCGACGAUCCGUAGCUGAGCUGAGAGGAUGAUCGGCCACACUGGAACUGAGACACGGUCCAGACUCCUACGGGAGGCAGCAGUGGGGAAUAUUGGACAAUGGGCGAAAGCCUGAUACAGCCAUACCGCGUGGGUGAAGAAGGCCUUCGGGUUGUAAAGCCCUUUUGUUGGGAAAGAACAGCAGUAGGUUAAUACCCCGCUGUUCUGACGGUACCCAAUGAAUAAGCACCGGCUAACUUCGUG